UACGUAGGGGGCAAGCGUUGUCCGGAAUCAUUGGGCGUAAAGAGCGCGUAGGCGGUCCGGUAAGUCCGCUCUGAAAGUCCGGGGCUCAACCCCGGGAGGCGGGCGGAUACUGUCGGGCUAGAGUCCGGAAGAGGCGAGUGGAAUUCCUGGUGUAGCGGUGAAAUGCGAAGAUAUCAGGAGGAACACCGAUGGCGAAGGCAGCUCGCUGGGACGGUACUGACGCUGAGGCGCGAAAGCGUGGGGAGCAAACAGG
rnacentral:rRNA from 1 species